AAGGAUGUGGUCGCAGUACUGCGAGCUGGACAGGGCAGGCGAUAAGUCCUCGGCCGUGGUGACUCUAGCCGUGCCGGGUCCUGUCACCCUACCUCCGAAUGCCGAGCACAGGGCCUAGGGGUAGGGACACGGCUGGAAAGAACAUCCACGCGGGUCAGCUCAGUUCUGAAAAACGUUGCGGGGAGUUGUUUAGUGAAGUGACAUUUAGAUAACUUGAGGACGGAAAGAGACCAUUUUAUAGCGUCAGCCAAAGUGCAAAAAAAGCACACGUGGUGGAGUCACUCUGGCUGCUCAGAAUGGAGACCAAUCAGAGUGCAAUGUAUUUUAAUACACAUACCAGGAAAGCCGGAGGAGAGGGUCUCCAAAGCCAUCAGGUUACAAGGAGACCUCGUGGUGGAGGCAUCUGUAAGCUGAGGGAUGCUCAGCGAUCAGCCUGCUUCUUAAUUUGAGUCGUGGUUGAGGAUUGUGGAUAGCUUUUCAUUGAAAACUAUUGCUGCCGGGAGGUCUGGGGAAGGCAAGACCGGCCUCUGCUUCCCGCCUCCCCCAUGAUGAUGUCCACCAGGCUUUCUCAGCCGGCACUUCCUGAAGCCUGCAGUCAACGGAGUGGAGCUAAUUAAAACAAAUAAAAACAACAAUAAAACCUCUGCUUUUUUAAUUUGACAA